UUUCNNUGGGCGCAAGCCUGAUGGAGCGACGCCGCGUGGGGGAUGAAUGGCUUCGGCCCGUAAACCCCUGUCAUUUGCGAACAAUUCGGUUCAAUUAACACCUGAACCGUUGAUAGUAGCGAAAGAGGAAGGGACGGCUAACUCUGUGCCAGCAGCCGCGGUAAUACAGAGGUCCCAAGCGUUGUUCGGAUUCACUGGGCGUAAAGGGUGCGUAGGUGGCCAGGUAAGUCGGAUGUGAAAUCUCGGAGCUCAACUCCGAAACUGCAUUGGAAACUGCCUGGCUAGAGGGUUGGAGGGGGGACUGGAAUACUUGGUGUAGCAGUGAAAUGCGUAGAUAUCAAGUGGAACACCAGUGGCGAAGGCGAGUCCCUGGACAACUCCUGACACUGAGGCACGAAAGCUAGGGGAGCAAACAGGAUUAGAUACCCUGGUAGUCCUAGCUGUAAACGGUGCACGUUUGCUGUAAGAGGAAUCGACCCCUUUUGUGGCGAAGCUAACGCGUUAAACGUGCCGCCUGGGAAGUACGGUCGCAAGAUUAAAACUCAAAGAAAUUGACGGA
rnacentral:rRNA from 1 species